rnacentral:rRNA from 1 species
GAUGAACGCUGACAGAAUGCUUAACACAUGCAAGUCGAUGGGGAAGUGGUGCUUGCACCAUGGCAACCAUGGCGGACGGGUGAGUAACGCGUAAGGGACUUACCUGCAGGACUGGGAUAACAGGGGGAAACUCCUGACAAGACCGGAUAAUGUCAUGGAGCUGCAUGGCUUUAUGAUGAAAGGAGACGCCUGCGGAGAGCCUUGCGUCCUAUUAGCUAGUUGGUGAGGUAAUGGCUCACCAAGGCGAAGAUAGGUAGCCGGCCUGAGAGGGUGGACGGCCACAAGGGGACUGAGAUACGGCCCUUACUCCUACGGGAGGCAGCAGUGGGGAAUAUUGGGCAAUGGGGGCAACCCUGAUCCAGCAAUUCUGUGUGCACGAAGAAGGUUUUCGGAUUGUAAAGUGCUUUCAGCAGGGAAGAAGUAAGUGACGGUACCUGCAGAAGAAGCGACGGCUAAAUACGUG